UACGGGGGGGGCAAGCGUUGUUCGGAAUUACUGGGCGUAAAGGGCUCGUAGGCGGCCAACUAAGUCAGACGUGAAAUCCCUCGGCUUAACCGGGGAACUGCAUCUGAUACUGGAUGGCUUGAGUUCGGGAGAGGGAUGCGGAAUUCCAGGUGUAGCGGUGAAAUGCGUAGAUACUGGGAGGAACACCGGUGGCGAAGGCGGCUACCUGGACCGGUUCUGACGGCUGAUGCGCGAAAGCGUGGGAUAGCAAACAGGG
rnacentral:rRNA from 1 species